rnacentral:tRNA from 1 species
GCCGCGGUAGCUCAGUAGUAGAGCAGUACCCUGAAGAGGUACGUGUCGGGGGUGCGAUUCCCUCCCGCGGCA